GGAUCUGCCGUCUGAAUCUGACCACAACUGAAUAAAUUGAAAAGUUAGGCUGCUGUGGAUUAGUAUCACUAUUCCCCUGCUUCUGGAGUUGAAAGAAAAGCGAUGUUCAUAUCACACCCACAGAUUUUUAAUUCUGUCUGCAGCUUCAUUCCUUAAAUGGGUCUCCUGAAGAGCAUCCCAGACCACAGCUGAGUGCGGCGGACCCCAUGCCAGAUUUCAAAGUGUUUGGCCAAUGGCAGCAAGCAUGAUUGUCCCCAAACCACACAUUGGAAAAAGGAGGCACUGAGAGGGAAAGUGACUUGCCCAAGGACACAUGAGAUGGGAGAGUGUAACCAGGGGAAAAUGUGUGUGCAUCCAGGAAGGUUAAAAGAUGUACAAUGGAUGUUAAAAAGUGUACUCAAAGGCGAAGGUGGAGAGGAAAAAAAAAGCAGGAACUCCUUACAGUGAGAUGAUGAUAUAUGGGAAAUAUAUCAGAAGAGUCCAGAACUAAGUCUUAUUCAGGUCUUAUUGACUUCAAUGGGAGCUGGAUUAAGUCUAUGGUGACUAGAGAACAUAAUAUAUACAAUAGAGAUUGAGGAAAACACUCCGUAAACUUUAUAUCCUUCAUCUAUGAAUAAAAUAUGCCUUCAACUCAGGAAUUCUUUCCUAUACACACAUGAACUUUUUUAUUUCAAUCCCCAUCUAACUCCUUAGACAAAAACAUCAAAUCCACUAGGGAGAUCUAUAAUCCAUAGAUAACAUAGGCUGAAAAGAAUGUCAGCAUUUCAAAUAGCAAUUUAUAUUUUGUAUGGUUUAUAACAUAGCAAUAAAAAUGUAUCCCAGCCUGAAA